rnacentral:rRNA from 1 species
GACGUAGGGCGCGAGCGUUGUCCGGAUUUAUUGGGCGUAAAGAGCUCGUAGGCGGCUUGUCGCGUCGUCUGUGAAAUCCCGCGGCUCAACCGCGGGUCUGCAGUCGAUACGGGCAGGCUAGAGUUCGGUAGGGGAGACUGGAAUUCCUGGUGUAGCGGUGAAAUGCGCAGAUAUCAGGAGGAACACCGGUGGCGAAGGCGGGUCUCUGGGCCGAUACUGACGCUGAGGAGCGAAAGCGUGGGGAGCAAACAGG